CGGAAAGGGGAUGAUUCUACGCGAAAAAAGAAGUCGAAAAUAUAGAAUAAAAAUUUUUCGUUUGAGGCUUUGUUUUCGAGAAAAUCGACUUUGAAUUUUCGCUCGGUACGCGUGCACUUUAUCACGUCUCGUUAUAACGGAUCUCACUGUAGAUCGUUGUCUCGAUGGAUAUUAUCGCAUAAAAAUUUUUCGUUUGAGGCUUUGUUUUCGAGAAAAUCGACUUUGAAUUUUCGCUCGGUACGCGUGCACUUUAUCACGUCUCGUUAUAACGGAU
rnacentral:misc_RNA from 1 species